rnacentral:rRNA from 1 species
AUUGAACGCUGGCGGCAGGCCUAACACAUGCAAGUCGAGCGAGCGGCGGACGGGUGAGUAAUGUCUGGGAAACUGCCUGCUGGAGGGGGAUAACUACUGGAAACGGUAGCUAAUACCGCAUACCAUCAGAUGGGCCCAGAUUGGAUUAGCUAGUAGGUGGGGUAACGGCUCACCUAGGCGACGAUCCCUAGCUGGUCUGAGAGGAUGACCAGCCACACUGGAACGGAGACACGGUCCAGACUCCUACGGGAGGCAGCAUUGGGGAAUAUUGCGCAAUGGGCGCAAGCCUGACGCAGCCAGGCCGCGUGUGUGAAGAAGGCCUUCGGGUUGUAAAGCACUUUCAGCGGGGAGGCGUUACCCGCAGAAGAAGCACCGGCUAACUCCGUGCCAGCAGCCGCGGUAAUUC